UCUUGUUUUUGAAAAGUAUAAUUGAAUGAAAAAAAAUCUAAUUUUGAAAGGAGACCAGUCAUUAUUUUAGUGUUAUUAGCUUAUUUCUGGACCAUUUUCCCCCUCACUUUUUUGUAUGACCAUUGAAUUGCCUACUUGAAUGGUCAACUUAAAUAGAAACACGAUGGAGAGCAAGGCUCUGAAAGUUGUCAACUUUUCCACUGUUCAAAAUGAAUCAUGCUUUAUUUUUUUAAAUACCUUUUUUUUAAUCAUAUUUUAGUAAUCUGUUUUUGAGAGCCUGUUUUAUCUCUAUAUUUUUGUUGGAGAUCAAGAUGUUUUCAUUAGGACAAAUGAACUGCAGUGCUUUUCUAUCUGCUGCAACAUUCAACGUUGCACAUUUCUGUAGACUUCAGGAAGAACAUGCUUUUAUAUAUAAACAUCAAAUAAUUUGCAAAAGGUGAGAGCUUCAUUCACUUCGAAAACUAUUACCUAUUUAAUUUAAGUCGCUCUUUAGUUUAUUCAAUUGUUGUUUUUUACCAUGACUAUGCAUUCUGUCUUUCUGCAGGCCGAGUUCCGGGUUUGUGAUGUCCACCAUGAGAGAUUCUCAUUAAAGUUGAACCAGUGACUAGUCUCAGAUGGGGAGCUGGACCUCUUGAAGACCAAGCUAGACUGGCAGGCCUGUGGAUAUCUUGUUCUGGGCUACUCAGAGGUGCUGCCAGAACUGGACCUCGGCACUAUCAAUUCACAGACCACCACCUACAGCCCCUCCAUACAAACCUGCACAUAGGACAAGUGCUGGGCCUCAGUCACAAUGUCAUCACUGAUGCUCUGACUGAAACUAGCCUACACCAACUGGUCAUUGCCAACUGUUCCACUAACCUACCGUAUAGUGUGCAUUGGAGUGCUUGCCUGUGAUUGAGAAAGCGUGCGAUGUAGACUUGCGAACAGAACAUCCUUCCUGACACACAAGACAAGAGUUCUGAGGUCUUGUAAAGAGGGAUGAGAGGACUGUCAAUAGAUUAAAUUGAUUCAUUACUUUGAUCAGUCCUACUUUCAACACUUCGUACUAAAAAUGUACUCUGAUUGCCCACUUAGGCUUGCAAUGGAUUUCAGUGGAGUUAAACAUGACACAUGCAGUAUCACUGUUUCGGGGCUACGAGAAGGGGUCGAGAAGGGGCUACGAGAAGGGGUCGAUUUGGAAUUCAGCACUGUCCAUGGGUUGACCGACCUGAACUUUUUUUUUCCUUAAAUGUUUUAUUUUUGUUUUUCACAGUACAGCUGGAAAUGUAAAGAUUGAAACAUAGUAGGGGCAUAGACCGAGGGUGGCCGAGGUGGGUCCCAAUCCCUGUUGCCAGGGGGCCCAAUCCCUGUUGCCAGGGGGCAUAUCUGGUACAGAGUCGGUGAGCUUAGACCACUACACUAGACUCCGUCACGACUGACCUGUACUUUUUACCAGAACAGAAAUACUAUGUUCAUCAGAUUCUCCUCACUGUGAAACUCAGAAUGGUUGUGAGGUCACAGGGAAAAGACUGAUCUGAGGGACCACAGACUCACAAAACAUUGUAGCUCACCUGACUGGAAAACACAGCUCUUGGUGGUGCCAAUGUCUGCCAUGAAACAAAAAUGAAAACACAACAGAAAAUUGCUCUCUACUUCCUACCACAAUCUUAUAUAUUACAUACUUAGAAUAUGAAUGUGAUUAUUCAUACACUCAUAUUAGGCCUAUUUCUAUUUGGUUGGGGUGUUCAAUGGUUAAGUGGACUAGCUACCACUAUGGCAUUUUGAUGUUAUGGCGUCAGCUCUGGCUGGCUGAGAAGACAAGUAAAUGGGCUAAUAGUUGGCAGGGCAAUUUUAGUUUUUCCAACUUUGUAUUACCGUAUCAAAUAAUUUAAUGAAGGUAGAAAAAUAACUUUAUAUCAGUGUUAUGCAUGUUGUUCAAGCGUGUAACUGCCCUCUCAUUCGCUAGAAUGGUCCCACCUGAUCUCGCCUCCUCCCGACUUCCUUCCAUCUUUGAAGACAUGUAUUUUCAUUGUUAGAGUGGCCACUUGAGUAUCUUAUCAAUAUAAUUGUCAUGACUGUCACUCCUUGGUGAGGAUCAAAGGUGCCGGAUCAGCUAGGCCAAUGGCUGACAGAUAGCCAAACUCUCUCUCUCCUGGGGGAGUUGGCCCGGUUUUAUGAUUUAACGACCGGAUUGUAAAUACCUGGCAGAAACUCUCCCUUUGGCUCUGCAGUAUUGAAUGUCUGAGUGUUACAGAGAGACUCUUGCUAAAAACUUUAACAUCCAAAGAUUUGACAUUGGAACAUUAGUUUUGAAAUCCAAACGCUUGGAAUGGUUGGUGGGUUUAUUAUUUUGUGAUAUCAUUAAGGAUGGUGUAACAUUGUAACUUUAAGAGCUUUCACAAUGUAUUGAUCAGAUUUGCAUCUAAAUGUUGUAUAAAAUAAAUGAUUAAGUAUAAGAAUACUGUUGUGAAGAUAAAAUAUGAUUUUAGCCUUUAAAUGAGAAUUGUUUUUCAUAUAAACAUUUGCUAAGUCAGUAACCACGUCCACGUGAGCACAGACUUCAUGUCAGCAUGAUGGAACGCCCCUUUUUACCUAAGCAUAAAAGGACUCGUAAGGAAAUGUACAUUAGACCAAAACAUGCCGGGUUGCUGCUGGUGUGUAAAGUGGUCCUAGCUGUACCCUGAAUAAUCAACCAUUGAGACCAGUCUGCGUGCAGCGUGAGCUGAAUAUGUUACCAAUGGUUAAAUCUCUACAGUUGGGUAAUUUAAAGUAGUCUAUGUAGAACAAAAGGAGAACAGUUCCCUAUCACCACUGUGAUACACCUCUGAUGGAUCCAUUCUAACGAACACUCCAGAACAAAAGAAGCCUACAACUAGAAAUUGUGACCUCUGGUGGGCCACCAGAGACUUACAUCGACCCACCACAUUGAACUAUCGAGUUCAACAGAGAGAUGGCAGAGAAAGACAUCUACGCGUAAAUAUGUAUUGCAUUCCUUUUCUGAAUGAGUGGUUGUUAGGGUACUAAAUAUCCAUAUUUACAGUGAGUGUGUUUUUCAACUGUAUGUACGAUAAUUCCACUCUCUAUUUCUCUCCCGCUCCUUAUCUUUCCCCACCCCCUUUCCAUUGUGUAACAAGCUGUCAUAUCGGGUUAGUCCACUAGGGACUGUGUUUCAUUGCAUUAUGUUAGUAAUAAAUAAUCUACACUGUG